rnacentral:ncRNA from 1 species
CUCAUCACAAUGACCGGGACGAGUAAUCUGCGUUGAUUUUCAGAGAGAAAUCUCAAUAGCUGAAAGAGAUUUCAAAUAAAUCAGAUGAAAACCACCCGCGAGUGAGCAGCUUGAACAGGUUUUUACCUCAAUAUGGCUGCCGGAUGACCCGUUACCGUCAAAAUGAGAUGGUUGGCAAGCCAACCAAACUGGGUGGAACCGCGUGAGUAAAACUCUCGCCCCGGAU